rnacentral:rRNA from 1 species
UACGUAGGGGGCAAGCGUUGUCCGGAUUUACUGGGCGUAAAGAGCGUGUAGGCGGCCACGCAGGUCCGUUGUGAAAACUGGAGGCUCAACUUCCAGCCGUCGACGGAAACCGUGUGGCUAGAGUCCGGGAGAGGAGAGUGGAAUUCCUGGUGUAGCGGUGAAAUGCGCAGAUAUCAGGAAGAACACCAAUGGCGAAGGCAGCUCUCUGGGACGGUACUGACGCUGAGACGCGAAAGCGUGGGGAGCGAACAGG